GCGGGUAUAGCACAGUGGUCGUGCGCAGCCGUGCCAUGGCUGAGAUUUGAGUUCGAUUCUCAAUACUCGCUCCA
rnacentral:tRNA from 1 species